GUUUCCUCCGAGCUGCCUCAGCUUCGCUGCCAGCGCCCCCUUUACCCGUCCAGCCGCGGCAUGGGCUGCUACUCCAGUAACACACGCGCGCGCGCAUACACACACACACACACACACACCCUCUGCCUCGCCAAGUGCCCACACUCGCCAACGCCCCCGCCCCGCCCUCCGGCCACCGCAGCAGAGGCCACUCGUGACAUUUAGGACGGUGGCCACCGCGAUCAAACGACGGCUACGGUCUGUGUUCGUAGGGAAGUGAAGUCAGACCUCUGCUGGAUGCCGCGUGUCCCCUAGGACUGCGUCCUCCCGCGCAGACAGAGCUCCAGAGCACCACCCCACUGUGCGUCAGUCAGGAAGUGCUGUGAUCAAGAAACCACCACUGCUGCUAGUUGCAGGACUGUGAUUCCCAUCAACAGCACUGAUGGCCUGCACCUCACCUCUGACACCCAUGGGACUCUUGUAUGUGGACACCACCAGAAAGUCUGCUAAUUCUGGAACAAAAACCUGAAAUGUCUCCAUGAGACGGACUGCUGAAAGAAAUAGAAAACCACAGAGGUGAGGCCUCCACCGUACUUCCAAAUGCUGUAUCGCACAUGGAAUGCAUUUGAUUUGUCAGAUCAGUCACAUUCAGAAUCCAAGUUGCAAAGGAGUUUUGGAAACACAGACCUGAGUUUUCCAGCCUCUGUCAGACAAGAAGGCUAAAAAAGAUUGGAAUGGAUGAUGGGCAUUCAUAUUCACAUAAAUUCAACUUCUAUAUAUGUGA